rnacentral:lncRNA from 1 species
UUGGGUUUCUCCAGAAUAGGAGGGCUGAGCUUGGCCAGCUCAGAACUACCUUAGCUGCUAGAGGAGACCUCUGAGGAAGACUGAGGAAAGAGUACGCUGUGAACCGCCGCUGGUGUGUGUACUCAGGCUACUCUCAACUCAGGUCUCCAGAUCCUGUGAAGAGGAAGCAGGAGGAACCAACCUCAGCAAAUGGGAUUGUUUAUUUCACAGUGGUGAAGGGCGGACGCAAUGGGCAUGACAGCUCACACUCUUGGUUGUCAGCUUAGUGACAUGCAAGGUUAACUAAACCCAAGCAGCUGAGCACACCUGUGAGGAAUUCUCUUCAUCCAAUCCAGGAAGACCUGGCUUUGUGCCUGGAGCAUCCCUCAUGCGACUGCAUGGUGGGGGUGGGGUGGGGGUGGGGUCAGUAAAGGGCUUGGAGGUGAAGCACUCUGGAGACAGUUUCAGGGAUUGGCUUCUGCUGUAUUGCACAUGAGCAGCUGUUUAUCUUGUGGAAGCCUAUCGGCUGUGAUUGGUUAGCACAUUACCUCAGAUUGGACUCAUAUUGCCUGGGUCUCUGUGCAGAAGAAGCACACAAACAGACUUGGAGAAUGCAGAUGCAUCAGCAGGCCAGCUACCACCUACGGAUGCUACUUCAGCAUUCCGUGUUCUGACUCUCGGAAUACCCAGGAGCAUGGUGUGCCAGGUGUCUCUCUUAGAAGCAGUGUGCUCGUAGUCCGACUGCCAGGUCAGGCGUGCAUUUUUUCCUACAGAGACCCACCCUAAAUCUGCAUCUUUUGAAGUGGGAGUAUCUACCUUAAAUCUGGACCACACCUUCUGGUGGCAAACUCCAUAAAGGACAUGGAAGAAGGACGCUUUCGCUCUUUGCCUGCUUGCCUUGCUCUUCCCUCAUUGCUCUUUCAGCCUACGUAUACUGAAGACCAGCGGAGACAUCCAGGCUCGAGGACUGAACAAGUACUGGGUUCUUGGACUUUACUUUGGAGACAGCCAUUGUCAAACUAGCUGAACCACAGCCUGUAAGCCACUCUAAUAAAUCAGAUAUGAUUUACUCUUAUUCUAUCAGUUUUGUUUCUCUAAAGAAUCUUGACCAUACAGUGGGGAAGGACUGUCUGCUGAAGAGGGAAGGAGUUUAUAUAGUGGGGUUGGAGACCGGGAAGUUAGGGUAGCCGCUGCUGGGGCUAUAUGUUAGCCUGACGUUUCUGGAAUUGUUUGUUCACGUAAAGUCAGUUGAUCUUUAGAAACUGCCUUGCCC